rnacentral:rRNA from 1 species
UACGUAGGGUGCAAGCGUUGUCCGGAAUUAUUGGGCGUAAAGAGCUCGUAGGCGGUCUGUCGCGUCGGAUGUGAAAAUCCAGGGCUCAACCCUGGACCUGCAUUCGAUACGGGCGGACUGGAGUUCGGCAGGGGAGACUGGAAUUCCUGGUGUAGCGGUGAAAUGCGCAGAUAUCAGGAGGAACACCGGUGGCGAAAGCGGGUCUCUGGGCCGAUACUGACGCUGAGGAGCGAAAGCGUGGGGAGCGAACAGG